AUACGUAGGGGGCAAGCGUUAUCCGGAAUUACUGGGUGUAAAGGGAGCGUAGGCGGCAUGGUAAGUUAGAUGUGAAAGCCCGGGGCUUAACCCCGAGGAUUGCAUUUAAAACUAUCAAGCUAGAGUACAGGAGAGGAAAGCGGAAUUCCUAGUGUAGCGGUGAAAUGCGUAGAUAUUAGGAAGAACACCAGUGGCGAAGGCGGCUUUCUGGACUGAAACUGACGCUGAGGCGCGCAAGCGUGGGGAGC
rnacentral:rRNA from 1 species